rnacentral:rRNA from 1 species
CUACGGGUCGCUGCAGUGGGGAAUCUUAGACAAUGGGGGAAACCCUGAUCUAGCCAUGCCGCGUGAGCGACGACGGCCCUAGGGUUGUAAAGCUCUUUCAGCAGGGAAGAUAAUGACGGUACCUGCAGAAGAAGUCCCGGCUAACUCCGUGCCAGCAGCCGCGGUAAUACGGAGGGGACUAGCGUUGUUCGGAAUUACUGGGCGUAAAGCGCGCGUAGGCGGAUUGUUAAGUCGGGGGUGAAAUCCCGGGGCUCAACCCCGGAACUGCCCUCGAUACUGGCAGUCUUGAGUUCGAGAGAGGUGAGUGGAAUUCCGAGUGUAGAGGUGAAAUUCGUAGAUAUUCGGAGGAACACCAGUGGCGAAGGCGGCUCACUGGCUCGAUACUGACGCUGAGGUGCGAAAGCGUGGGGAGCAAACAGGAUUAGAUACCCUCGUAGUC